UACGGAGGGGGCUAGCGUUGUUCGGAAUUACUGGGCGUAAAGCGCGCGUAGGCGGCUUUGUAAGUUAGAGGUGAAAGCCCGGAGCUCAACUCCGGAACUGCCUUUAAGACUGCAUCGCUAGAAUUGUGGAGAGGUAAGUGGAAUUCCGAGUGUAGAGGUGAAAUUCGUAGAUAUUCGGAAGAACACCAGUGGCGAAGGCGAACUUACUGGACAGUGACUGACGCUGAGACGCGAAAGCGUGGGGAGCAAACAGG
rnacentral:rRNA from 1 species